UAUUUGAAGUACUUAGAACAUUUUCUUUUAAUACUUUUAUCAAUCCUUAAGUUCAGCCAUGCCAAACUAACUGACAAAGAAUUAUCAUUAAUGUCACAGAAAUACAAACUCUUAAAAAUGGUAGAAAAUAAGCUAAAAAACAUGCUGCAUAAAGGAUGACUAUCUUGUUAACACUGACUAGGAAGAACCUUUAUCAUUCAUUUGGACAACACUUCAAUAUUCACUUAUGGUACUGCAAUGUUCUUUUUAAGUUUUUGCGACCUGUAAAUGCUUACAUUACCUCAUCUCAUGGCUGAAUAUUUUGCAUUUUGUCACAUUUUCAUUUAUGAUAAAUUUAUUGCCUUCCUUUUUUUCUUGGAAACCCAAAAUGGUUCCACACCGGCGACUUAAACUUCGCUGGAGUGUUGACUAUGCUGUCCUACUCAGCUGACAUUUUCUGCAUAAUUGCAGUAGAUCGAAUGGCGUCAAGUCGUAAAACAAUCUGCAUGCAAAUUUCAUUUUUUAAAACACUUUAAAUGUCGAAAACAACGAAUAUCUGCAAUGUUUUAAAUACAGUGUGUCUUCACUGUUGACAGAUACUUAUUUUACGAUCUCAUUUUUAUAUUUAUGUGCAUGUCGUGAUGUUUGACGUAAAGAGCCUUACAUCAGAACACGUGACUGCUGUAAACAUUACAAAAGACCGUCGAUUGCAUUUUUGUUUUUUGUUCUUUUGCUAAACAGACAAGAAUGAAUUCUGAUUUUACGAAUAUUCGAAUAUUUACCAUGUGAAUAAUGAAUAUGUAUUUGACAACAGGCAUUAUUCGGUGCACCGAAUAUUCGAGCGUAUCGUAAUAAGUGGGCUAAGUGUCUAUGCUUCUGAUCAGAAGGUCAUGGGUUCAAGACCAGCCUUGACCUGCCUGUCCUUUAUUUUGAUUUCGCCUGCAUGUCCUUUCCUCACCAUUAGUUAUGCACCGGUGCCGUUUCAGCUAAAGUAGGAGACCGAGUUGUUGAAUGUCUGUACUGGCUUGUUUGGCUUAGUGGGCUAAGUGUCUGUGUUUGUGAUCAGAUGGUUAUGGGUUCAAGGCCUGCCUGUCCUUUAUUUUGAUUUCGCAUGGAUGUCCUAUCCUCACCAUUAGUUAUGCACCGGUGCCGUUUCAGCAAAAGUAGGAGACCGAGUUGAUAAGUGUCUUUACUGGCUUGUGUGGCUUAGUGGGCUAAGUGUCUGUGUUUGUGAUCAGAUGGUCAUGGGUUCAAGCUCAGCCUUGGCCUGCCUGUCCUUUAUUUUGAUUUUGCCUGGAUGUUCAUUCCUCACCAUUAGUUAGGCACUGGUGCUGUUUCAGGUAAAGUAGGAGACCGAGUUGUUGAGUUUUUGUACUGGUCUGUGUGGCUUAGUUGGCUAAGUGUCUGUGCUUGUGAUCAGAAGGUCAUGGGUUCAAGCCCAGCCUUGGCCUACCUGUUGGUUUAUAGGAAAAGAAGGGUUAAGGGUUGUGUAUUAUUAUUAUAAGUCUUGCUGCUCUCACACUUGUUUAAUAAUAUGGUGGGGGCCCUAAGUGUGGCAAUUGAUUUUUUCCUAACUGUAUAUUCUGGGGGGGGGGAGGCCUGAGGGUGGUGGUCAUCUGUCUUGGCCUCCACAUGUUGUUGGGGUGGUGGUUGUGCAUGGGGAGGAGAGGCUUGAACCCUGGUCCUGGGAGUGUGAGGCACUGUUGCUAACCACUACCCUACCAAGCCACCCCCCUCCUUUAUUUAACGGCUUUAAUAAUGCUACCAGUUAAAUUCGUCUUUAAAUUUGCUUGUGUGUUUUGUCUCUUCUUUGGCAAAUGAAUUACAUGAAAAAUAUGAGUGUAGUGAAGUGGAGACUUUAUAAGUAAAACUGUAAAAAAGCACAAUUACCCUGCUUAAUGGAUGGUGAAAAGAGAACCAGAAGCAAAGCCUCCUUCUGUGCUUACUGUUGACUUCCAGCAGACUGGGGAGUCUAACAGCCCGUCUUUUCAUACAAUCCUGUAGUGACACCAUUAAUAUUUCUUUUAACAACAUCGUUCAUUUGAAAUGUUAUUUACUUUUUCCAGUUUUUACCUGAUUUGGAGUGUUAUAAAUGUUAUAAAUGGGACUGUAAUGAAUGCAAAAUACGUCAAACUUCUUAUUUCAGUUCAGAGUAAACCAAAGCAAUAAGUCCACCAAAAUACCACGUCGCUGGCAUGUUUAUGGCAGGUUUUGCUUAUCUGACUUGAUUUGAAAAGGGAAAAACCACACUAAACGUGCACAGAAAAAUCCACCUUUUUUUGCUAAUAAAAUACUUUGUUAA